CUACGGGAGGCAGCAGUGAGGAAUUUUGCGCAAUGGGGGAAACCCUGACGCAGCAACGCCGCGUGAGCGAAGAAGGCCCUCGGGUCGUAAAGCUCUGUCAAGUGGGAAAAAAAUUUUUUGAUCAAUAGUCAAAAGACUUGAUGGUACCACUGGAGGAAGCACCGGCUAACUCCGUGCCAGCAGCCGCGGUAAUACGGAGGGUGCGAGCGUUGUUCGGAUUUACUGGGCGUAAAGAGCGUGUAGGCGGUUUAGCAAGUCAGAUGUGAAAGCCCUGGGCUCAACCCGGGAAGUGCAUUUGAAACUGCUUCACUAGAGUAUGGGAGAGGAGAUUGGAAUUCCUGGUGUAGAGGUGAAAUUCGUAGAUAUCAGGAGGAACACCCGUGGCGAAGGCGAUUCUCUGGACCAAUACUGACGCUGAGACGCGAAAGCGUGGGGAGCAAACAGGAUUAGAUACCCCCGUAGUC
rnacentral:rRNA from 1 species